rnacentral:tRNA from 1 species
GCCUAAGUGAUGAAAUUGGUAAACAUGAAAGAUUCAAAAUCUUUUGCAUUUUGCUUGUUGGUUCGAGUCCAAUCUUAGGCA